UGGGGAAUAUUGCACAAUGGGCGCAAGCCUGAUGCAGCAACGCCGCGUGAACGAUGAAGGUCUUUGGAUCGUAAAGUUCUGUCGCAGGGGAAGAUAAUGACGGUACCCUGUGAGGAAGCCCCGGCUAACUACGUGCCAGCAGCCGCGGUAAUACGUAGGGGGCUAGCGUUAUCCGGAUUUACUGGGCGUAAAGGGUGCGUAGGUGGUCUUUCAAGUCGGUGGUUAAAGGCUACGGCUCAACCGUAGUUAGCCUCCGAAACUGGAAGACUUGAGUGCAGGAGAGGAAAGUGGAAUUCCCAGUGUAGCGGUGAAAUGCGUAGAUAUUGGGAGGAACACCAGUAGCGAAGGCGGCUUUCUGGACUGCAACUGACACUGAGGCACGAAAGCGUGAGUAGCAAACAGG
rnacentral:rRNA from 1 species